GGGUUCUACCGUUGGUCAGGCUAUAGUCUGUACUGGCGUGUGGAAUUUCUACCUUCUGGGGAACUAUCAUGUUAUUAAUUUAGCGUGGUAGGAAACCAGAACCUUUACCUUGAAAAAAUUAGAGUGUUCAAAGCAGGCUUACGUCUGAAUACAUUAGCAUGGAAUAAUAAAAUAGGACGG
rnacentral:rRNA from 1 species